UUGCAUGUUGGGGGUAGUGGGGCCGCAUCGACCGGGCUGUCAUCUGGUCAGAGAGUAAGAAAAGAGCGUUGAAGUCGAAGGACUCUGGGAAGUUCCGGCAAAGAGGGUAACACCCCCGUAGACGUAAGCCGCUCUCUCUCGUGCGUCACCCCAAGUAAUGCGGAACCCCUGAAAUUCCGCAUGAAUCUGGCGGGACCACCCGUUAAGCCUAAAUCC
rnacentral:rRNA from 14 species